UGUCCAUUGUUCGAUUCUGUUUUUUUAAAUGGAAAGAGAAACUCUCUCACCUCGGACCUCAAGUUUUAGUUUAAUUAUGAUAUUUUUACUAAAAUGCGAAUAUAGUCAAUUUACGCAAGUCCCGUUAAACGGCGGGUUGACUUCUACCAACCUGAAACGUUUCGCCUUUCUCUCUAAUGAGAUGUAAGAUUCAUUUCCAUCGCUAAAUCCUAUCCAAUUCUCCGUCACUAAUUUCCCUAAAAAAUCCCUCUCUAUUUUUCUAAAAGGAGCCAUAUUUGCAAAUAUGGAGUUGGUGAAUCUCGGGGUUUCAGUUCGAGGAAUUAUAAACGGCAUGUAUGAGUUUGAUGUCCGCAAGCCUCUGCAAUUUUGGUUUGAAUCCUCAAACUAGACUUUAUGUGGAAAGUCUUUUAUUUCAUGAUCAUCACUUGGGUUUCUUAACAUCCAUGCCGUGCAAGAGAAUGGAGGUCCUCAAAGACUAGUUGACAUCACAAGGCUUGUGCCAGAUAUCUCUAGGAAUUACUUUCAAAGUCCUUCUAGAAAGGCACUUUUUGUGGAAUCCCCUUGUUGAGAGGUUUUUAUGUUGCACAAACAAUCUCUCUAUCCUUUGGAGCUUUAUGAGUCAAUGAUGUGAUUGCAACAGUACUAUGUGUGCUUCUGAUAGAGUAUGUUACAAGGUUUUAUUACAGCCGUCCAAAGGCAUACGUCUCUCCCCAUGGUAACUUUCAUGCUGAAUUGGAUGUGAUCUUUUCCCGUUCGGUUUGCUUACUUGGAGAAACUGCAGUAGUAGUUCUGCAGUAGCUAAUUUGUGUUGGCAUAAUUCUACUUCCUUUCUGUUCUUGAAACUGUGAAAGAUAAAGCUAUAUAAAGAUAUAUACCAUUGGAGGCAUAAACUGCUUAGAGGAUGCUGCAUGAUGCUAUAAGACGUGGGUAGUUUGGAAUAAAUAUUCCAACUAGCUUUGCAUUAUUUAUUUAAUACUGUGCCAACUAAUAUUGUAAGAAUCCUUUUGGCAUAUCAUGUUCCCAAGUUCCAAAAUUUUGUUUCUCUAGUCUCCAUUAGAGAUUAAUGACAUUUUUCGGUGCAUGCCCUCUUCGUAACCAUUUUAUACAUGAUAUGACCAACCUUGUUGCAUUAUUUGUUGUUGAUCUUGAGGUAGCCCCUAACCCUAAUCUUCCCGAAUAGACAAGCUUGGGUGGUCUAUUUACUAUUAUGAUGGUACUCUUGAUCAAUCUUGGAAGUUGAUAUUUUACUACAUUUUUUUUGGUACCUUAGGUUGUUUAGGCUUUGGUUGAUGAGCAAGCGCUACUUUGUCACGAGUCUUGAUGUGUCUCUUUAGGAAGAUUUAUUAAACGGUCUUCUAGUUUCACCGUCCUUGAUGGUGCCUGCUCUUUAAUUUCUCGAGUAGCAAUUCUCAACUCUUAAUUCCAGCAAUCAGGUUCAAAUCUUAUGUUAUAGGCCGAAUCAAUUAAAAUAGGAAAUGGGCUUAGUAGCUCUUGAGUCCAAUAGUGCCAGCCCAUCUAAUGUAUGUUGUUUUACAUUUUUAUUAAGUUCGUUAAUACCAGGAUUUGUUGUACGGGCCUUAACGAUGGGAUUAAUUACAACCCAGUUGAGUUUCUAUCUGUGGGAGAAUAUUUAGUAUGAGGAAUGAUUGUAAAGGAUUCAUUCUGAUGUCAAUACAAUUCUUGAAUCUUCUCUUACAUAUUCUAUCGGCCUGUACCAUCUUAGUAGUCUCGAAUUAAAAAAAAAAAAAAAAGAUGGAAGGCGUAACGCAUAAUCUUGUCUCUCUUUGUAGCAUGCUUAGGCAAAUAUUUUGUGACACUUGAAUUUUGUGUGUGACCAUGCUAGGGAGAUGAUUCUUAUAAUUAAUUCAUUAGUAUGUAUGUUUCCUUAAACCGAUUAUUAGAAUUGGAUUAUCCGAAAUGCAUUGUUCUU